ACUAAUAUAAAAAAAAAAAAAAAAAAAAAAAAAAAAAGUGAUAUUUAAAAUAAAAAAUCAUAAGAAAAAGUGAAAAUAAAGAAAAAAAACACUAAUUUGGUAAAUAUUUUUAAACUACAUUAGAUUUGUAAAAAAAAAAAAAAAAGUAAUAACCCUAUUUUGAUCAAAAACUUUUUAUCCGAGCGAGCUAAUUUUACCUUCCUCCUCUAUAUGAAUAUAUUUAAAAUUAACUUUAUUAUUAUUAUUAUUAUUAUUAUUAUUAUUAUUUUAAAACCAUUAUCCAUGAACAUCUCUCGACAUUUAAACUAUGUAUCAUAAUCUAAGAACCCUAUCUGAUGUUCAUCAUCUUUACCACCAACCAGUGACCACCGUUAUCUUCAAACCAGUGACCAUCAUUAUCUUCAAGGGAAAGGUCUCCACCCUUUUCAUGAACUAAAUUAGUGUUGAUAUCCUCCUUAUGAUAUCGUCUAAGUACCGCCCCACACACUCCCCUUAAUCCCCAAACCCCACAAUUUGUAUCACCUCCCUUGGAACUCAACAUUUUAAGCGUCCCUUCUAUUAUUAUAGAUCUUGAACAUGGGCUUGAUUACUAUUUAGGAGCCACUAGAAGUGGUGGUGGAUGAUGGGUGGUAGUGCGAUGGUGGAUGGUGGUGGUUAGUGGUGAUGGGUGGUGGUAGUGGCGGUGACGGUAGUGGUGACAGCGAAAGAGAUGGUGGUGGGAAGUAGUGGGAGGGGUGGUGGUGAUGGUGGUGGAGGAGAAGGAGAUGGUGAAUGUGACGGUGGUGGCAUUGAUGAAGAUGGUUGACCAUGAAACAAAAUAAGGGGUAUUAUGGUUAAGCUUUCCCUCGUAAAAAUGAAUUUAAUUCAAUCAUAUUAUUUUAAUGGAAUGGAUAUUCCCUAAUUCGAUGGAAAGUUCACAUCAUUUAAGAAUCCAAUUCCUUAGCAAAUCUUGAACCAAACAUGAGAAUCUAAUGGAAUGUACUUCUUGUCAAUCCUUACAAAAAAAUUUCACGGCCUUGCAAAAUAUUGUUCACAUGUCGUUCAAAUGGUGAUGACAAUGUGAAUAUUAUUUUUAUUUGUUAA